UGGGGAAUCUUGCACAAUGGGCGAAAGCCUGAUGCAGCCAUGCCGCGUGAAUGAUGAAGGCCUUAUGGUUGUAAAAUUCUUUCGCUAGGGACGAUAAUGACGGUACCUAGUAAAGAAGCCCCGGCUAACUUCGUGCCAGCAGCCGCGGUAAUACGAAGGGGGCUAGCGUUGUUCGGAAUUACUGGGCGUAAAGCGCGCGUAGGCGGACUAUCAAGUUGGAUGUGAAAUCCCAGGGCUCAACUCUGGAACUGCAUUC
rnacentral:rRNA from 1 species